rnacentral:tRNA from 1 species
GUGGCUAUAGCUCAGUUGGUAGAGCCCCGGAUUGUGAUUCCGAUUGUCGUGGGUUCAAAUCCCAUUAGCCACCCCA